rnacentral:rRNA from 1 species
AUUGAACGCUGGCGGCAUGCCUUACACAUGCAAGUCGAACGGUAACAGGUCUUCGGAUGCUGACGAGUGGCGAACGGGUGAGUAAUACAUCGGAACGUGCCUAGUAGUGGGGGAUAACUACUCGAUAGAGUGGCUAAUACCGCAUGAGAUCUACGGAUGAAAGCAGGGGAUCGCAAGACCUUGUGCUACUAGAGCGGCCGAUGGCAGAUUAGGUAGUUGGUGGGAUAAAAGCUUACCAAGCCGACGAUCUGUAGCUGGUCUGAGAGGACGAUCGGCCAAACUGGGACUGAGACACGGCCCAGACUCCUACGGGAGGCGGCAGUGGGGAAUUUUGUACAAUGGGCGCAAGCCUGAUCCAGCAAUGCCGCGUGCAGGAUGAAGGCCUUCGGGUUGUAAACUGCUUUUGUACGGAACGAAAAGCCCUGGGUUAACACCCCGGGGUCAUGACGGUACCGUAAGAAUAAGCACCGGCUAACUACGUGCCAGCCGCCGCAGUAA